rnacentral:lncRNA from 1 species
AUGUUCUUCAUGAUGGCGUCGUGGAUUCGGUGUGAUUGACGGCGGUUCGUGGAUUCGGAUCGUGAGCUUCGUGGAUUCGGAGUGGAGGCGUUUCGUGGAUUCGGAAUGUGGCAUUCGUGGAUUCGAACGUGAGGGCAUGGACAACCCGGAGGAUUGCGCGAGAUUCAUAGGAGGUUAAGAGAGGUUGAGUCCGUGGAGUCGGUAAUCACCUUGUAAUAUUUUCUUUUAGUGAAUUAUUUUUUCGCGUGUUGGUCCCGUGGGUUUUUCU